UGCGAUGGCCCGGUCCUUUCGGUGCCGGAUCCUCAGCCCCCAGCCCCCCGGGGCCAUCAGGAUCGGGCCUAUUC
rnacentral:ncRNA from 1 species